rnacentral:lncRNA from 1 species
CAUGUGUGGUUUGUUUAAAAUAUUUAUGCAUGGUAGCAUUAACAACAGAAAAAAAUCUCAGUUCAUGCCUGCAUCCCUACGAACGAAUCUACAUAUACCAUCUCUUAAACUAACAGAUAGCAAGCUAAUGCAACGAGCACUUACAAAAAUUUGAAAUGGGUUUCACUCUGCAUAAUAAAAAAAAAUGCAACACCACAAUGACUAUUCUCCCCAAAGUUAGAACAUAUUCAUCCCACAUGCUUCUUCGUUAAAAAAAUGAAAAUUCUAGCCAAGAAAAAAUCGUCACAUUUUCUUGAAGUAAUACUACCAUCACACACUGCCGACCCAUCAACAAUGUCUUUCCCCUUGUCUUUUUUAGUGCCAUUUCCUUGAGAUUUACAGUUUACAUAAAUGGUUACCACACUAACAAGCAAAAUAAAACAAAAAAAACUACAAAAAAUUAAUUCAAAAUACAACAAGUAACCCCAAAAAAUUAGCGACCACCAAGAAUCAAUUUUCGUUCAACCCGACACAAAAAAAUCAUAGUUCGUACAACCCCCUACCCAAAACAGUGCAUAAUACUUUCAUUCUUAUUUAAGAACCAAGAAACG